AGCACAUCUUAUUCACAGACCUGGGAUUUUAUAUAUAUAUAUAUCUGUGCCAUGUCAGGCAGAGACAAUCACAAAAUCCAAGUUGUUUUCCAUUGAAAAGGAAAAAAAAUAUAUUCAUCUUGGAAGUAGGUAAUUGACUAUUUUAAGGCUGGAGAAUUGAUAGAUAUUACCUUCUUAUACUUCACUACCAGUGUCAUCUCAAAGGGAAGAAUGAGCAGAGUAGCUCUAUUUGUUGAACUUACCUUGGCAGCAAACAGCACUUUUUCUGGCAGUGAUCAUGUACUUAGCUGAUAAAGGAAAAAAUAUGUUUGGGAGACCACAUGAGAACAUGAGCAGCCAUUAUUUUCCUUGAAAUCUUCUUGGCCCCAAAGAAACUGCUAGUUGCCACCCAAACUGCAACCCAAGUGAUGCUUCAUCUAUAAGACCUUUUAGGUCUAUCAAUAGAUACAGACACAGAUGUUUAUAUGAAUAAAAAGCCUCUUGCAAUAUUUCGGCUUUUGAUGCCAAAUAAACAGAAUAUUCCACAGACAACUGGCUGAUUUUUUUCCCCCACCCCAGAUGGCUUUCGAAUCAUGAUACAACCAUAAUUUCUUACAGGAUACAAACUGUUUUGUAUCAGCAAGGGCAUAACUCUAGAUAAAGUGUUAGGUCUCCAAAGAAAUUUAAAGUUAAUCUCAUCUCUCUGUACACUCGACUCUAAGAGAAUGUAUUGUUUUCCCAGCUCUAAGAGGUAUCAGGUCUCUCGGUGACACCAUCCCAAACCAUUUUAGUCAGAAACAGGUGAAGCAGAGACUGUUAUAAAAUAACCAUACUGGAUGAAUUUCAUGAGCCAUUGACAACCAUGACACAAUCCAAAACUAUUUUACAAAACAUUUACAUUUCUCAAGAAUUAGUUUCAUGAGUUCAGAAGGUUUCUACUGGGAAACUCUCUGAGAAGCGGUCAUGAACUUUGAAUAAUGUCAAGAGCUUGACCUCUGAAUGUGGUGACCAGGCUGACAUUCUGACAGUGCUCUUGUUUGCUUAGUCACUGUGCAACUGCAAAUGAGCACAUAAAGGUACGAUGUGGUGACACAUUAGCUCAAGGCAGUCGUCCAUGUGCAAUAAAACAAGAUCAUAUGCAAAAGUAUUUUAGAUCCUGAUAUGCCUGGACUCCGUUAAGCUGCAAUCCCUUCUUCCCUUUUGAAGUCUAGGUCAGGCAUUUAUCUCAUCAAGGUCUCGUUUCUGUUCUCCAUAACAGGUGUCCUCAAGUGCAGUGACACACCUUCUCUCUUUUUAGCACACAUCCCCUCUGGAAGGGGGAAUAUCCGUGAUGAAGAAAAGAAACAGCUCACGACCUAAGUGUCCUCCGAGGAGGAGUUUUCUUAGACAGCUGCUUCUGUCGAGCUGUAGGUGGGGUGGGUGUUGAGGAGAGAACUGAGAACAGAAUUAAAAUGCCACCAGAGGAGUCCUGUUGUGGCUCAGUGGGUUAAGAACCCAACUCAUAUCCAUGAGGCUACGGGUUUGAUCCCUGGCCUCGCUCAGUGGGUUAAGGAUCCAGUGUUGCCACAAGCAUAGUUGCAGCUCCAAUUUGACCCCUAGCCUGGGAACUUCCAUAUGCCGCAGGUGCACCCCUAGAAAGAAGAAAAAAAAAAUGGCACCACCCUGUAUAAUCCCCUCCCCUGAAGGAUGGGAAAAAAUUAUGGCAAGAACCUUAAUGGAGGAGUAUUUUACAUUUUAAAAAAUUGUGAAUUAAAUUUUAGUAUCAAAGCUGACGUUUAUGCCGUAAAGAAUAGACGUGGGGAAUAUGUGAUGAUGGAAGAGCAGUUUUUCCGCCCUAGCCGUGGUCAUUCUCCCCUGAUCAGAGGACAUACGGUCAGCCAGGAGCACGGGGGUGAGCUUCCUGAGCAAGUUGCUGGACCUGCCCCUCCUCCGCCAGGGCCCCAACCCCCGAGAAGCAGAUAUCAAGCUUCCCAAGAGGUUUGAGAAGACGCUGAAACCCAGCUGUGCUUCAGUUCCUGCAGGGAUCGUUGGGGGAAGAGAGUGUGGAGGAGACAUUUGUCUCACAGAGACCUCCCCCCAGCUGUGGAGUGUGGCAGCGAAAAGAGAAGCAAGCGUGGAGUCUGUGAGGGUACAGAAGAUCCGGGAGAGGUCUGGACGUUUCCUGGAGCUCCAGGAAGGUGCUGGAGAACUUCCAGAAUUCCCCAUGCACACAGAGAGACAGGGAAUGAUUGCAUUCAGAAGACUUACUGACCCCUUUGUCACCAGGAGGUCCCCAAAGCCUCUUGCAAGUCUGAGAUUCCAAGGCUCUAUAGCAGGUGCCUUCAGACAGAUUGAGGGGAAACUAAAAGUUAAGUGACAGCUCAUCCUCUUCCAUGAUAGGGUGUGUCUCCCCCUGCUAUUGCUCUCCGCUGUUCAUUCCCUGCCCUAAACACACAGUGGAGCUCGAGACAGUAUAGAUUUCGUUCCCCACAUGCCCUGCAUUUAAUUCUCCUUUGCACUGUCAUCCAAUGUAUUACAACACUCUUUAGCUGGCAGUGUGGGGCCUUUGCUUCUUUCUUUCCCCACCUAGAUUCUCCUAGGAAAUCCACCAGUUCCCCAUCCUUUUGGCAGAGCAAUGAGCCACAGAAAGAUGACCUCCGGGCACGUGGUGCCUUCCCAUUUUGAUAUAAAGGAUGAAACUGCGUAUUUUUUCAGUGGUGGAGGGGGAUUAGCACUCUGUGGCAGGGCGCUAGGAAUGCAGAUCAACUCAGACUUGUUAAAACAGUGGCCCAAAUCCCAAAAGAGACAAUCGGUCUUUUGUGAGGCAAUUUGCAAGUAUCAAGUUCCACCCUUAAAACUUCAUAUGCCCUGUUAUUAUGUGAUUAGUAGAGUCAACAGCGGCUGUAUUUCCACCUAGUUCACAGGCUUUUACAACAGCAGAAAUCGGGCUUCGCAUGUGGUUCUGAACUAUAACAGUUCCUCGAGAUGUACCAGUGAGUAACCUGCACAGCACGGUUGCAUGUGCAAUGUAUGUUGAUAUUGGAAAUGAUAAAUAUCAACUACAUCGUAUAGUAAAGACAUCUUAUAGAAAUGCGUAGAGUUAGACACUUCCCUGGCUGUUCUUUUCAUGUCAAAUGCAGGACGGGAUGCUCUGCUGCUCUGGACCACACUCAGGCGGUUCAUGUUUAAGAAGCUUGAGAAAAGCUUUAGGAGAGAUGCCUUCCCAGACUUGUGCUGUGCGGGGGGACGGAGGAAAGGAGGUGUGCCCGCUGAUCAUCUUUGGUGCCUUUCAAUGUUCUGCUGCAAAUGUCUUCAACAGGUACCUUGUCAAACCUUUAUUUCCAGUGAUCCCAAUCACCACCCUCAACUGGAUGGUACCUCUUUUCUCUACACCUCUUUAGGUCCUUUGUAAAUAUGCUUUAUGGCCCUUGGAAAUGCCAUUUAGUAGUAGAGGUAUUUCCUCUACCUGAUUCCAAGCAACUUGAGGUUCAAUGGCAUUGACCCGAGCCUUACUUAUUGAAUGUACUUCUGUGCAUUGUCUAGCAAAGUUCAUUGCAUCUGUUUCUUGCUCAAGAAAUAUUUGUGAGUGAGUGGGUGAGUGAAUGAGUGAAUGAAUGAACUUGAAAGUAAACUAGAUCCAAUGAACUUCACUCUGAUGGUCACCAGCCUUUACUCAGUGUGUCUUUGGCCAGUUCCCAUUGCUGAACACUGAUACAUGUCAAACACUGAUACAUCAAAGAGGCUGAACGCAAAAGUUCUCAGAUGACUAUCCAGUGAGCUGGAUGCAUGUUAGGUCCACCUCCACCUUGCUUUGCAUUUUGUGCCCAUGACCCCUUUCAAUGUGGAGGAAUGACUACGUUGCACUGUCAGCGUGCUCGUGAAACAAAUUAGGUGUGUGGUUAAAAUCUUAGCAGAAGCAAGGAGAUAUCGUCAACCUUAAUUCAAAAGCAGGAGUUGAGUAGCAACUUCUGACUGGAUGCAGCAGCCUUGUACCUGCUCCUGAUGCCUUCCCAGGGAACUCUUGCAAAGCUGCUAAUUUCUGACAGUCCACACCAGGCAUGUGAGUCUAAGUCCCUUGCGUUCUCGUCAAACUUGAGGUGUCUUCUUCCUGGUUUUGCUCUUCACUCUUUAGUUUACCCUCUCCUGUCUGCAGAGAAACCCGGUCUCUUGAUGGUUUUUGUUCCUUGCUAUACAUGCACAGGUUAAUGCACUUGGCCAAGAAACUCCUUUUGAGUGCCUUUCUGUAUAACAGAUACAUGUUAGGUGCUGAGAAACAGUAAACAAAAGAGUCCUCUCAUGGUUUCACUGUAGAAGCACAAAGGGUCAAGUAAACUGUCAAUCUCUAGAUUCUUUUUUUUUUUUCUUUUUUUCUUAGGGCCGCACCCGCAGCAUAUGGAGGUUCCCAGGCUAGGGGUCGAAUCAGAGCUGUAGCUGCCAGCCUACACCACAGGCAUAGCAAUGCCAGAUCUGAGCCGCACCUGCGCCUGCAACCUACACCACAGCUCAUGGCUACGCCAGAUCCUUAACCCACUGAGCGAGGCCAGGGGUCGAACCUGUAACCUCAUGGUUCCUAGUCAGAUUCGUUUCCACUACACCACAACAGGAACCCCAAUCUCUAGAUUCUUAAAGGAAACUAGCACGCAUAGCUUUUCUUUAAAAAAUGAAAUUCUUAUUUCAGACCCAAAAGAUGAAUGACAGCAUUCUCAAUCCAACAGAGGAUCUAAAACUCUCACGUAGAAUCUGGAAAGGAAAUAAAAAGGACUCCCUUCUUUGGUGUCAUUGUUUGAUGCUUAGAGUGGAAAUAUCGCUUGCAAGUUUAGUUUUACCUCUCAAAAUUAAUUAAAGUAUACACAU
rnacentral:lncRNA from 9 species